GCUGGUUUGGACGGCUAGUGGUCAUGGAAUAUGAUACGGAGAAAAUGAGCACGGCCCCUGCUCAGCGACGACACCCAAACUUGUGGAAUGAUCCGUGUUUUG
ensembl:snRNA U6 U6 spliceosomal RNA